UGGUAGCCAUGGAAUGGACAUCAUGGGCCCUGUUACACAAUCUCUAUCACAUAACCACCCUAAUUGCAUCAUUCAGUCUACAUACAAAUAGGUUCCUGCUACAGGAACUCGAUCCUGGCCAAAAAAAUGGCAAAAGCGGCCCAGAUCAAGGUCACAGCUCGUUUGGGUGAGGAAAGCACGUAAGAUCGUGCAAUCCUACAAGCUGGGACUCGAUCCUGGCUACCUUGAUGAUAACAUUUGUUUAAGAGUUUGUGGAUUGGGAUGACCUAAUCUUAGGUGCCAAUUGAAUUGAGCAGUACAAGAUAAAUGUUUAGAUACAUCAGUAGAGGACUGUAUACCAGUGCUAGGACUAGAAUUAGAAUUAAAACAGGAGGCGGGACUGGCUUGAGCUGAUGGAAGGAACUUGAGAUUUGGAAACUCAUAGAGGCCAUCUCUGCAAACUUGACCAUGACACUCACGAGGUAUAACAGGUUGAAACUGUUGAUUGAACCUAUGGUAACAAUAGAAUGCAAUGUGCCCAAACUUAAAACAGACCUGACACUGAAUAUUGCCAAAACGUCCUCCUCCACUGCUACAACCUGAAUUAGGAUAGCCAGAACCUGAAGGAGUAGAUUCAGAAGAGGGAGGCACAGUUUGGGAUACAGACAUGUCACCCGUAGAAGGUGCAGAUGUGAGAUUAAUCGACACUGAAUCAGUGCUUGCAGCUUUCUUGAACUUUUGAAGACGCAUCUCAUGAGCCAGAAGCAACGCCUCAGCUGAACCAUACGAAAUUUACUUUCAAUAGCAUAAAUUACCGGAGAAAAUUCUUGAGAAAGUCCCAAAAUCACAUCAAUGUGUUGCUGUGAAGGAACAUGAUCUCCUACAAAAGCAAGUGCGUCAACUAGCGCCUUGAUGCGUGGCAGAUAUUCAGCAAUAAAACGACCUUCAAGAGAAGCUGAGUGAAGUUCUGUGCGUAACUGUCGCGCCUUCGCACAUGUGAGUUUCUGGAAGUGUGCAGGAAUACGAUCCCAAAGUUCAUAGGAGUGAAAGCAACCAAGCACACGAUUAAGAAUCAACGACGAAAGCGUUGAUUGAAGCCAUGCGAAAAGCCACUUACAUUUUUUGAUCAAAUUAGGAACUUCGUAAAGGGCAAAAUAAUUGCCCUGCUUUUGGACUAUGAUGGAACAUUUUCACCCAUUGUGGAUAACCCUGACUGUGCUUUCAUGUUGGACAAUGCAUAUGUGUGCUGCUGUUUAAGAGGUGGCAGAGUAUUUUUCAACAACAAUAACUUGUCGGAAAAAAUGUGACAAGUACAUGAAUUUGUAGGACUAACGGAACUCUAUUACGCUGGUAGCCAUGGCAUGGACAUCAUUGGCCCUGUUAGACAAUCUUUAUCUAUAUCACAUAACCACCCUAAUUGCAUCAUUAAGUCCGCAGACAAGCAGGGAAGGUUAAUUUAUUCCAACCUGCUGCUGAAUUCCUGCCAAUGAUUAAUGAGGUACUUAACUCUCUCUCAUUGAGUGUACACAAGACAUUGAAGGUGCAAAAGUUGAAACCAAUCAAUUGUGUAUCUGUACAUUGCCUCAAUGUAGAUGAGAAGUUGGGAUUUGGUGGGGUGUCGAGUUAACGAUGUUCUUCAGGGCUUUCCACGUUUGCGGUUAGCUCAUGGUUGCAAGGUUUUAGAGGUCCGACCUGUGAUUAACUGGGAUAAGGCAGAAGCAGUUACAUUUUUUUUACUCGAGUCACUUGGACUUAACGAUUGCAACGAUGUGCUUCCUAUAUUAUCAGCAAUGAUCGGAUGGAUUAAGAUGCAUUUAAGGCUUUGAGAGAGGGAAUUAAAGGCCUUCAGAACCAAAGGAAAGCAAUGCAAUUUACUCUUGUCGUGAUUCAUCAGAGGUCUUGUAUUAGAUGUUGUGUGGCGCAGAUUGUGAUUCUGGUGCGCGGUAGGUAUCAUGCAGCGGAUUUCUUAGCGUUGUUAGGCCGGCCUGUAAUCCGUCCAUCUAUUUUAAAUCUACUCAUUGGAACUUUGAUACCAAUAGCUAAAUUUCGAUGACUUUGCGAGGUAUUCAGCCAACAGAGGAUAUUUCAUUUUGACCAAGUUAGAUGAUGUAUUGUUGGGAGGCAUGGAUGCAGAGUUUGAUCAUAUGAUGAUUUGGUGGUGGACAUGAGAGAGACUCAAGUAUUACAAUGUGUGUCUAAUAGUAGUAUUGUCUACAAUGACAGGUUCAUAAUAAAUGUUUUUUUUUUUUAUGUUGCACUACCACUUAUAAGUGGCUCCAACCAAACUAUACAAAUUCAUGCACCUUCUAUAUAUGGCUCCAUCCAUCUACACACAUUAUCACAUUUGUGUUAUACUACUAUUAGAAAGAAAUUGCUUAAAAUAUACAUUUUUUAUUUGAUACAUUAAUUGUUUUA